rnacentral:rRNA from 1 species
AACAGGAUUAGAUACCCUGGUAGUCCACGCCGUAAACGAUGUCGACUUGGAGGUUGUGCCCUUGAGGCGUGGCUUCCGGAGCUAACGCGUUAAGUCGACCGCCUGGGGAGUACGGCCGCAAGGUUAAAACUCAAAUGAAUUGACGGGGGCCCGCACAAGCGGUGGAGCAUGUGGUUUAAUUCGAUGCAACGCGAAGAACCUUACCUGGUCUUGACAUCCACAGAACUUUCCAGAGAUGGAUUGGUGCCUUCGGGAACUGUGAGACAGGUGCUGCAUGGCUGUCGUCAGCUCGUGUUGUGAAAUGUUGGGUUAAGUCCCGCAACGAGCGCAACCCUUAUCCUUUGUUGCCAGCGGUCCGGCCGGGAACUCAAAGGAGACUGCCAGUGAUAAACUGGAGGAAGGUGGGGAUGACGUCAAGUCAU